UAUUAUGAAGUUACCUUUUCAUACAAUUUUAUCACCUUUCCUAAAACCAUAUUUCAGACACACCAGGUUGUUUUGCCAGCACCCGACAUUCUCAGCUAGUAUUUUGUAUACAUACUUCUAUGGGGUUCUUGGUUUGAUUGUCAGCAUCCAUGAUUUAAAAAAGCACUUUGGAGAGAUACAGGUUGAUGGAAAACUGACUCUCAAUUUUCGCGAUGCGAUGAUCGUUCAUGACAUAAAAGUCAUAGUUUCAUCUAUUGGAUUGGUCCAGUACUUGUGCCUUUUAAUGGGAUGCUUUACCGAAAACCCUGGACUACUUCUUCCUCACUUGGCUGGCCAACUUAUAGCAGUGUCCCUUAAAAUAGCCAAUGUAUUUUUAUUUCUGAAACAAAUGAAGUUGCGGUCGUUCGGUAUUCUGGGUAAUAAAUUGACUGCCAUCUUCGUUAUGACUUUUAACUGGCUUCAAGAGUUUUGUGUUUUCAGGCAGUAUUUAUGUAUCUGCGAUCUUUGAAAAUGUUGAACUAACCAGGAAAAAAUGCAAAUAUACAGUUAAUUAAA